GGACAGGUGUCCGAGCGGUUGAAGGAGCAGCAUUGGAAAUGCUGUAUACGGCUUACGCCGUAUCGGGAGUUCGAAUCUCCCCCUGUCCG
rnacentral:tRNA from 1 species